AUGGCGGCGGCGGCCCGCGGGCGGGGGACGGGGACGCCCGGUGGUCGCGCCGGGGCCGGCAGCGGGCCGAGCACGCGCUCACGCGGGCCGGAGGUGGGGCGCCGGGCCAGAGCCCGAACCCCUCCCCGCCACCGGGGAGACGCGCGCGGGGCGCGGACAGCCAACGGCGAGUGGCCGCCGGGGACCCGACCCACGCCCGGGGCACGCGCGCGCCAGGGCGGGGACGCGGCCGGCGGGGGUGGGGGGCGGCGGGAGACGACGGCGGCCCCUCGUCACCACACAACGCCACCGCCGGGGGGCGGGGGCAAGCGGCGGACGCGGCGGGAAGGCCGCAGCGGGUCCGGGAAGCGCCGGGCGCCCCGGGGAGCGCGGCACCGGGUCGGCAAGACGGACGACGGACGGGGGCGGACUUUCGGGAAAGGCCGCGGACGGGAGACGCCCCGGCGGCCAGGGGCCAGCCAGGCGCCGGAGAACGGCAAGCGGGAGCGGUGGAGGAGAGGACCGCGGGCCACCGCGAGGGGCUUUCGGGAAGCCUCAGAAGGCACCUGGGAGGCCGAGGUCGGGCGCCCAGGGGCACACGCGGGGUCCCACCGCCCGAGGCCUCCAGCGCAAGGGCGGUCCCGCGGCACCCGAGGACGCCGGCCCGGCCCCCACGGCGGGCCCCAAGCAACCUCGGGGGGCUGGGGGGCCCCAACCGCCCCGGUUCACGCGACCGGUUUUCCGGAGAACGUUUUCCGGCACAGGGGAAAGGACGCCCCGCCCCAACACCCCCGGGGGGCCUCCUUCUUCCCUUUCUUGGGAGGACCGAGAGCACUUCGCCGGGGGACGCCCCCCCCCCGAGCCACGGCGGCCAAGGGGAAGGGGCAAGACACCCAACAGCGGCGAGGCCGGUUUCGGUCCACGGAGGGCGGAAUUAGGGGCGCGGCACGCGCGGCGCACCCGCGACCGUGCGGUCGGGGGACCCGGGCAGGCGGGGGGGCGGGUCCGCGGCGACCGGGAGGAAGCGCACAGCGGGCGAGGGCCGGGAGGGCGCGUGGGAAAAGGCCGGUCCCGGGAAGGGCGCGCCAACGAAGGCGCGAGCCGGGCCACCGGGUAAACGCCCACGGGAUCCCACCGCCACCAGCACGAGGGCGGUCCCGCGACGCCCGGGACGCCGGCCGGCCUCAGCACCCUUGGCAGGCCUCCCCACAAACCGGGCCCCACACCGCCCGGGCCCAGGCACGCGCGACCCCCGCCGCGGGGGGCCCGUCCGAACCUCCGUCCGUCCAUCCGCCCGUCCGUCCAUCCGUCCGGUCCAACCCGGAGUCACGACCCGGGCAGGCGCCCCCAGGCGGGAGCUGGCCCGACCCACGCGCGCCCGCCGAGCCACCGCCGGCGGCGACUCGGCUCGGGAGCGGGCGGCGGCCCAGACAGCCAGGCAGCCAGCCGCUCGCGCGGCACACACAUGGGGUGAGUGGCGUGGGGGGGGCGGGCCGCCCCAACCCCCCGGCCGCGCGCACACUCGCACACGCACGCGGGCAACACACCCCGCACCGGACGCCGGCCCGGCCCGGCGGGAUCCUCCCCCGUCUCGGAGGGGGGAGGCGCAGGCCGCGGACCACAAAAUUGCUGGUACCUGGAUGGAAUAAUUUUAUAUUAAGGCACAUGGAUGAAGGAAGUGCCUACCUGGUAUGUUUAGGCUGGACAUUAGUAUAA
rnacentral:lncRNA from 12 species